rnacentral:rRNA from 1 species
GACGAACGCUGGCGGCGUGCUUAACACAUGCAAGUCGAACGGACAGGCCCCCACCUUGGUGCGUGUGCUCGAGUGGCGAACGGGUGAGUAACACGUGGGUGAUCUGCCCUGUACUUCGGGAUAAGCUUGGGAAACUGGGUCUAAUACCGGAUAAGACCUUGGUUUAGUGUCUUCUGGUGUAAAAAUUAUUGUUUUUGUGCCUGAUGAGCUCGCGUCCUAUUAGGUUGCUGGUGGGGUAAUUGCCUACCAAGGCGUCGACCGAUACCCGGCCUGCGUGGGUGGACGGACAAGUAGGGAGAGAGAGACGGGCCAGACUCGGGAGGGAGGAAGAGGGGGGGAAUAGUGAAGAAUGGGCGCAAGACGGAUGCAGCGAGGGCGCGUGGGGGAGGACUGCGGUUGGGUAGAAAACGCCUUUCGGUAGGAACGAAGCCAUACGUUUUUUGGGAGUGGUGACGGUAACUUAGUUAAGAAGCACCGGCUAACUACGUG